GGGUCAGUAGGUUGGUCGUGCCACCGGUACGUACUGGUCUCACUGAUUCCUCCUUCCUGAAGAACCGUAAUGCCAUUAAUUUGGUGUUGCGGGGAAACAGGACUGUUACUUUGAAAAGAUUAGAGUGUUUAAAGCAAGCUAACGCUUGAAUACGUUAGCAUGGAAUAAUGAAAUAGGACGAUCGAUCCUAUUUUGUUGGUUUCUAGGAUUGACGUA
rnacentral:rRNA from 1 species